UGAGCAAUCUACCCUUCUCAUCGGAAUAAGCGUUGGAAACGACGUCUAAUGCCGAAUACGACCUCCUUUCGCAUGAUCGGAGGUGGAAAGCUCCGGCGGAGAAGGAUGAGCUCGCGGCCUAUCAGCUAGUUGGUGUGGGUAAUGGCCCACCAAGGCGACGACGGGUAGCUGGUCUGAGAGGAUGGCCAGCCACAUUGGGACUGAGACACGGCCCAGACCUCUACGGGA
rnacentral:rRNA from 1 species